rnacentral:tRNA from 1 species
GUUUCUGUAGUGUAGUGGUUAUCACGUUCGCCUUACACGCGAAAGGUCCCCGGAUCGAGACCAGGCAGAAACA